GAUGAACGCUGGCGGCGUGCCUAAUACAUGCAAGUCGAGCGAACGGACGAGAAGCUUGCUUCUCUGAUGUUAGCGGCGGACGGGUGAGUAACACGUGGAUAACCUACCUAUAAGACUGGGAUAACUUCGGGAAACCGUAGCUAAUACCGGAUAAUAUUUUGAACCGCAUGGUUCAAAAGUGAAAGACGGUCUUGCUGUCACUUAUAGGUGGAUCCGCGCUGCAUUAGCUAGUUGGUAAGGUAACGGCUUACCAAGGCAACGAUGCAUAGCCGACCUGAGAGGGUGAUCGGCCACACUGGAACGGGGACACGGUCCAGACUCCUACGGGAGGCAGCAGUAGGGAAUCUUCCGCAAUGGGCGAAAGCCUGACGGAGCAACGCCGCGUGAGUGAUGAAGGUCUUCGGAUCGUAAAACUCUGUUAUUAGGGAAGAACAUAUGUGUAAGUAACUGUGCACAUCUUGACGGUACCUAAUCAGAAAGCCACGGCUAACUACGUG
rnacentral:rRNA from 1 species